GAAGAGUGAUCAUUUUAGUUUUGUUAUUUAUUAAAUCAUAAUACUUAAAUAUUUAAAUAAAUAUUACAUAAUAAUAUAAAGCAUGAGCCACAUAAAAUUCUUACAGCCCCUAGCAAGCGCACGUAAUCCGCUAUAUUGAAAGCUCCUGCCAAGUUCAACGCCUCGUGUAAGCGCUUUCAACUGGAUUCUCUCAAUUUUGCUAUGCCCAAAAACCAUUUUGUGCGUCAUGUGUUCAAUGAGUUCAAUCACCGUGUCACUGAGGUUAACCACCUGACGUGCCUCGCCCAUUUCUUUAAGUGAUUGCACCAUCAACCCUAGCUCCUCCCUCCUCAUCGCUGCAAAAGAAUCAAUUUUCUCCCUGCUGAGAAGCUCCAUUGUACACAGUUUCCUGACAUUGCGCCAAUAUGGACCGUAGUUGCAAAAAACCAUGCCCUAGCUACCAUAAGUCAAAUACUCCGAGGCUUGUAUUGUAGGACGACUCCCGAACACAAUAUCAUGAGUUUUGAGGAAUAGCUUGGAACUUCAGGCGAUGAGACUACAGUAGCUGGAACGUACCCGAGGCGCAUAGACAUGAUGGAACCAUACUUCUUGGCCAGGAGGCUGAGGUUGCGCUGAGGAAGGUUCCCCAACAUGUGGAGGUUGCCAAUAAUGGGUAGUGCCCAAGGACCAGGUGGUAGUUUCCCGGUGAGUGGCCGGAGAUGGAUGAAUGAGAACAAGGCUCCAAGGAGGAGGAGAAGAAGGCCAAUUGUGAAAGGAAACAUAGGUUGGUUGUGGGAAGGGGCUGAUUGGUGUAAGAAAGUGAUGAUACAAGCCUGACAUAUAUAGUAGUGCAUAGGGCUAAUAAAAGAUGGUGGCAAGUAUUUGGAAUUGUAGAAGGUCGACCUAAUUAAGUUUAAUAACUCUGAUGGACCCAACUUUGAUAACAAAGAUAGAUGCCUUGCUCAGAUUUGAUGAAAUAUCAAAUCACAAUAAAUAUUACUGAAAAUCACUUAUCGUGAUUAAUGUUGAAUAGUGUUCAUUCAUGAACAAAAAAGGAAAAAGGAAAAAGGAAAAAGGAAAAACAAGAGACUAGAUUUGUUGCUUAUGCCAAAGUGUUGACAAACACCGAAAGAGAUCAUUGCAAUGGAAAGUUUAAUAGACUCGACUAUAUAUUAAAAUUGUUCCUACAUCUAAGUACUAUGGAAGGUCCAUUAAGGGCGUAAAGCAAAAUGAUAUAAAAACUUACCAAUUUUAUUUAAAACUUGAGAAUUUGAGUCAAGUUAUAACUUACAUAUUUUUCUAUUGUGAUAAUUUUUUUCACAAGACUCUCCUAUUAUCAUUGUGUAUUUUAUGAAUUCUCUAUUUUUGUUUUCUUAAUUUUUUCUUCCUAUUAUUGUUCUUUGUCAUGGAUUUCAUAAUAUUGGUACUAUUAUAAAUAAAUGAUGACUUCCACUUAAUUUUUUUUAUGAUAGAUUAAACAUGAAAAAAUAUUUAAACAAGAAGAGUUUUAUUUUAUAUUUUUAUUCCUUAUUCCACUAAUAUCAUACACAUUUGAGAACCACAAAUUAUUGACAUAGAUGCUUAAUUUUAUUAUUAUCACUGUCUACUUCACAUUGUUCUGUCCUACCUCCUGCUGAUUUUGGGUUCAUUUCGAUGCUUGAUUGUGGACAUUAGAUGUUGCGCAUGUUUGUGGAAUCUGAGACUAUUUUUUUUAAUGUAUUUUAUGUCUGGUAUUGGCCCUAUUUCUUUGGCUCUGUUUUGGUUCCCCUGUGAGAUGCCCAAUCAUGCUUUUAUUUCUAUUUAAAAUGUGUUUGGUUUCACUCACCUGUUUAAGCCCGUUGAUUAGAGCAUGAAACAGGGCUUCGUUCGAUGAUUUGUCAUUUCAUUUUAUUUUCUCUAUCCAUGCUCUGUUUUUUUGGUACCCACCUCUCUCGAGAGUGCUUAGACUGUGCACAUCCUUCUGGUUUGUUCUUGGUUUGAAAAUCAAUAGAUGCCUGCUAGGGUCUUUAUCAUGUCUCUGUUUCCUGUCUGGCAAACUGGUCAAAGACAAAACAUCAAUAUGACCAUCGCCACAGUCCCCCAAGUGUUUCAGUAAGAAGUGCUUGCAUUUUCGAAGUCUCACACAACCAACUGUGCACACGGUCCACUCAAGGCUUAAAGGAGAGAUUGAUUGUUCACUUCCAAGGUCAGGAAGGUGUUGAUGUAGUUGGGUAUUUUAGAAAAAUGGUUGAAGCUGGGUCAAGACUGAACCGGGGAGUCCGUGGUAAGAUGGUUGAUGGCCGGGUUAGUUUUCUUGAGCGGAUGACAAGAUCUCACAACCUCAUUAUGGUGCUUGGGCGAUGUGGAAGCAGUUCAUCAUGCCUCAUUAGCGCAUACAGUUUCAGAAAUAUAUGGUGGAGUACUCUCUUUCAUUGAGACCAAAAAUUUGGGAAUCUGGAUGCAUUCGCACAGAGCAUUGGAGACCUUCUGAUUGUUGUGGUUCAUGAGUUGCAAAUGGGGUUGGGUGUGUGGACCCAGGUCUACCCCUUUCUGUUCUUUAAAAGCAAGAAAUUGUCCAAACCGUGUGAUGGCUCUUACACGUGGCAUAUACCAUUGUUGGUUUGGACGGGGAAUAAGCUACAUUCGAAUCCUGUUCAUGCAGUGGUGUAGCUCCGGCUAUCAAUGGAAUAUCUCGGUUCUGGUGAUGGCAGUGAGUUGAAAGCUGAAGGUGUAGAAGCUUGAAGGCCAUUCCGAUAUUUUUUCAGUUUAGAGAAUCUGGAACAUAUUACCUUCUGUACUCCUACUGCUCAAGUCACGCAUGCUCGCAUUUACAAGGUCCCUUCAGAAAAUAUUCCUACUGUUACAGUAGAAGAGUUAUACAGAUGUACAAUGGUUAUGAGAUGAUAUGAUUAAGGGACCAAUCGAGAAAGGGUCUCUUAGGAAAAUGGAUAAUUGCGGAUUGAAGUUAGGAGGCUCAUGAGACCACUCGACAAUGUGCUACCAUCUGUAAUACCAAGUCACAACAUGCAUCUUGGAGUCCUUGCUAUUGCAUCACCCUAUUGAUACUCUUAUGCUGGGAUAGGUGUUCAGACCUUUGGGAAGACACUCGUCACAAUAAUAACUGCACUGCUGCGUUUCUUGUCAUCUCCCAACUGAGGGGCCUCAUGACUGCCAUGGACACUGCUACUCAGAUGCUUGCAUCCACGAUCAAGUCUCUCACCUUCCAGUCCGUAUUGAAACAACUGAUAUGGCCAAGGUAAUUCUCAGCUGGGUCUUCCAUCACCUAAGCUGCCCCCUAGACCUCACUUUUCCAACUCACUCCUGCCUGGCCACCCAAACCCUUUUCAAAGCCCCCCAUCAAAGUCCCUCCACCAUCAAAUCUGAAUCCCAAGCCAAACUACUCCACGCCUAAAGCCUUAUGACCAGCUCACCAUCCUCCCAACCUUCAUACCCAUCAAACUCAUCACCCCCCGUGGACCUUCAGGCGUUCCGAUUUCUUCCACUGUAGAUCCUAAAUGCAUUGCUUCGGGUAUCAAAUACCAUGCAGAGUUCAAGCCUUUGUUUUCCAGAACAGUUCGGGCUCUCUAAGGCUUUCCCUGCAAUUGCUCAAAGUGUUCGUGAUGCACCAUCAUAAACUGGAACGCUACAUAUGUUGACUAUGGGAAGAUGAUUAUGCUGUAAAACAAAACCCCGUCUUGAUUGAGGGUAUAUUGUUCUUAAAAAUCUGGGCAUUGAUGAUAUUCCCAUAGUUGAGUGGUACACUUCUGAGUCACCCCAUGCAUUCCCCGUGAUUUCUGAUGAUGGAGUUCCCCCAAAGGUCACGGAGGAAGUAGAAAAUGUUUAGGCACACUGUACGCAACAUCGUACCAUGCUCAUUCAUCAAUCAACCCCUCAGCUCAUAUGCAUAAGGGUAAUGCCGCAACAACAGCCACUCCAAUGGAUACCAUAAUUGGUGCAUAGUGGGGCAGACCUGUCGCUUCACAAGAGUCAACAGAGACGGUGGUCGAGGUUGAAGGAGCAUGUGAAUUAAGAGGAGAAGCCUUCUUAGGCUUUGGAGGUAGAGGAGCUGAUGCUGGUGCUUGAGGGCUGAGGAUACCUUGUGAAAGGAGAAUCUGGGGGAUCUCAUACACGGCAAGCUGACCAUCACUGUAUACUGUGCUGUUCACUGUUGUAUUCACAAGGCCUGUUGUCAUGUUCACCUGUCAAGGCUAAAAAAUACCAUGUUGAAAAUUUGCUUGAGGGACCCUCUGCAUCAGUCCCUUCAAGUGCACAAGCUCAUGGGCAUAAACUGAAGCAGGGAAGAUUGGUUGUAGUCUUGAGGCAGACGUUUAAGGCAUGAUCAACUGUUUGAGAUCUCUAGUGUGAAUGCCAAGUCCCAGCUCCAUGCACUAGCCGUAUGCUAUCUUGGGUACAUACGUGAGCAUCAAGAAAGAAGCUUGUUGGGCCACCUCAAGCAUCACAACUGGAAAUAAAGAUCAGAUACAGCCUGCAACUGAAGCCAACCUCCACUUCCCUGGGUCUACUUCUAGCUACACGCCACCUUCGGCAUACAAUCCGUAAAGCACACGUGCCUCAUCUUCUUUUUCUUCACCUUUGCUUUCAAAAAUUAUUAUUAUUUUUUUAAAAUUUUAAUUUUCAAAUAAAUUUAACUCUUCAGUUUUUUAUUUAUUUUAUUUUAUUUUUUAUUCAUUCUUAGAGUUUUAGAUCACCAAAAAUCCGAUUUUAAUAAAUUAUUUGUUGUCAUUUUCUCUUCAGCAAACAUUUUUCACAAUUUUCCUUGUUUUUUAAAAUAUUUUUUAUUAAGUAUGAAUUAAAUUCUAUCCUCCGAACAUAAUGAAAUCCUAGAUAAUUAAUUCAUAUAAAAUAAAUUGAGCAUUGGUGGGACCUAACAUUUGUGAUCGAUUGUUUGAUUGACUUUGCCCUACUUUGACAUGCAUGCUAUUAAUUUGUAUUUGUACACUAAUCUUGUCUCUUAUGAUAGCAUUCAACUUGCAAUUAAGGUAUGCAUUGUACCUAAUCAUAUUUAUUUAUUUAUCCGUUAUCAUGCAUGACUUGUUUUAUUAUUUAAUCAUUGUUUGACACUCACGAUUUUUCGAUUAAUUGUCAUACUUGCUUUAACUAAUUAGUAGAAACCUAAUUUUUAGGGCUUAAAAGGGUAUUAUGAUUUAUUAUCGUACAUUCCCUUAUAGGUAACUUGACCUCGAACCUAAAUUUGAUUUUUCAUACACCUGUUUUUCUUUCGUAAUAACAUUUAGUGUUUUUCUUUUUUAUUUUAUUUUUUUUUUUAAAAAAAAACAAAAAUAAGUAGCGACUCCAAAAACUUUUCAAUAAAUUAUUAUUUUUUCAAAUAAAAACGAGUCGUGCCAUUUGAGUGGGAACGCAUGUAUCGCAAGGUAGGGUCCACAAUAUGUGACACUAACUAAUUAAUGAUGUUCUUUUGGUAGGUAUGAAAAAAAUAUGGUUCGAUAUUGUAAAUGGAACUUAUAUAUUGAUAUUAAUGGAAAAAAAUUUAUAUUAAAAAAAUAUUAUUCUUAUUAAAUUGGUUCGUCCAUAUCACUUUUAUUUAACUGACCACAGUUUAUGAGGCGGCCUCUUGCCUACUUUUAAAUCACAUAACUAGGCAUAUAAAAUGUGUUCUUGGCUUGGUUUACAGCUGCGCUCAGACUGUUGUUUACUUAGUGCUAGCUGGCUUGGGGUCAAAUAUAUUUAACUCCAAGCUUCCUGAUCCUAGGCCUAAGCACGCGUUGGGAAUUUAAAAAUGAUUGUUUUCUUCUUUUCUUUUUUUUUAAAUCAAAAUUAGACUUACAUAUUUUCUAGAGAAAAUGAAACAUAAAAACAUUUGUUUUUGUAUUAAAUGACUAGCCCUUGGUAUUGAUAAGCCAAAUUUCUCACACAUAUCCAAGUCAUUAGGCGACAUCUCAUUGCAAGCUCAAUAAUGAUUAUCUCUAAGUCAAAAUUACUUUCUCCAUUUUGGACUUGAGAUACCCUUAAAGGGAUUUAUGAACUCUAAUUUCUAAGCAUUAAAGUAUGACAUUCUAAUUAAAAAUAGAAAUAGGUCCAACUUACAAUAAGUUGAAUAAAUCCUUAAUCACAUAAAAUUUGAUUGUCAUUUUAUGGACACAAGAAAGGUCCAAGAUCGACUUUUCUGCAACCUAAUCUACUACUCAAAAGAUAUGAAAAUGGAAUUAAAAUGAAGAACAAAAGAAAGGUAUAAAAAAAUCAUCAUUCAAACUUAAGAUUCAUAUUAUUUUUCAUUUCGUUUUUAAUUCUUGACCUUUGAAAUCUUUUCUUUAUGAGGCACAUAAGCCAUCAUUUUAUCAAUUUGUUUUUAUAAUUUUUUUUCUUCUAAUUUUUAAUAGUAGCUAGUUUUAAUUUUCCAAUUCUUAAUAAUAUUUCAUAAUUUUCCUCAAACAAGUCCACAUGUCCCUCUCAAAAAUCCAUCUUUAGGCUUUAAAUUUCAUUUUGAAAACCCAACUUGAGUCUUUCUCUCAUUUUCUUUUUCAAUGCACUCUACCUUUUGGGUGCAUUUCAUAAGCAGGUAUGAAAAAAAAAAUGUGACUAGGAAAGACAAUAUUAGAAGUAGAUUAUUACAUGGUAUAAAUUUUAUGAAAAUAAUUUUUUUGUUAUAUUCUCGAUCCAAAAUAAUAAUGAAUAAUGAAGAGAAUGAAUUUUUUUUCCACUUCCAUGUUCUAUUUUUGUAUUUCAAAUACAUCCUCAUUAAAAAAGAAAAAGAAAAAAAUAGCCACCUUCAUACUCCACAUACUUUGACCAAUCGAAGUCAAAACUUUGGACAUUCAAACAUUCCAUUAAUCAAAACUUCAUUACUAGAAACACAUGAAAAUUCCACUUUAUAAAAACUUCCAUGCACUCCCUAAAACAUCUAAAUUGGUGCAUAACUUAAUACUAAAAGCCUAAAACCAUAGUUUAUGUCAUUAAUUUUCUUUAUAAAAAAAGUGAAUUUCUCAAAAAAUUUCAUGUAAGUCUUUCCUUAUCUUUUUUCGAUAUAGUGAAGAGGAGUGCUAAUGAAGUAAAUUUAAACAUGACUCUUGUCUUUAAAGUUUGUAAUACCAAAGAUCUUUCUCUCUCUUUCUUUCUUUUCAGACCUUUUUAAAUUCUAUAUGAAAUGAGAGGCGAUUCAUAUGUACAUCUAAGAUAUAAAUAUACUUUCAAGAAUAAUAUAUAAAUCAUAAAUUAUAACUGUUAUUUGAGCUAUAAUAAACUUAACGAGCAAUAUAUUACUGAAAUAUCUCAAGAGAAAACAUAUAUAAUAAUACAAUCUUAAAAACAAAAUCAAUUGAAAUGUUCAAUAAGACACUCUCAUUAAACUUUGGGAAGAAGUCGAUAAGUAGGAAGAGCAUGUAAGUGAGUGGCCCUUGGCAAUGCCAAACCAAAUUCCUCGCUCAUAUCCAACUCACUAGGUAACAUGCCAUUAGGUAGUUUCCAAUCAAAACAAUGUACUAAUUGAGCUAACACAAGCCGAAUGUUUAUUAGACCUAAAUGCAUUCCAGGACAUUUUCGACGACCUGAUCCAAAUGGAAUGAACUGAAAAUCCUUCCCUUGAAAAUCUAUAUUGCUACCAAUGAACCUCUCAGGAAAAAAGUCUUCAACAUUAUUGGACCAUAUAUUAGGAUCUCUUCCAAUUGCCCAUGCAUUGAUGAUAAUUUGUGACUUCUUAGGUAUGUAAUAUCCAUUUAGAGUAAUAUCCUCGAUGGACUCAUGUGGGAGAAGCAAUGGUCCAGCAGGAUGUAGUCUUAAACCCUCUUUCAAUACCAUGUAUAAAUAAACUAGAUUUGCCAAAUCAACCUCUUCUACCAUUCGUUCCAUUCCAAUCACAUUCUCUAAUUCUUCUUGAAGUUGCCUCAUAACUCUUGGAUGUCUAAACAAUUCAGAAAGUAACCAUUCAAUGGUGGUAGCUGAAGUGUCAAUUGCACCAACAAUUAUGUCCCAUACGAUUCCUUUAAGAUUUUCUUAUUUAAUUAAAUAUGAUGGCUCUUGAUGAAAGUUUUUCGUCUCAUUCAUCAGUGAUAGCAUCACAUCAACAAAAUCAUUAUGGUUUCCCUGAUUUUCGCUAGCGUCUUGUUUAUGCUCAUCAAUGAUCUUUUCUAAAAUAUGGUCAACAGCUCCACUAAUUGCCUUCAUACGCCUUUUCAAACCCUAAAAAUGAGAAAUUUAAAAUUUGUCAGUUACUUUUCAAAUUAUAUGAGUAACCUAAAAGUAUUGGUUUGUAUUCUAAUGGAUCCUUAGCUCAAUAAAUUUAGCAUGACUAAAAUAUCAUAUGAUAAUUCAAAAAUAUUAUAUAAGCUUUUUUGUAUUUAUAGGCUGCCAUACAAUUUUUUUUUUUUUUUAUAAUGCUACUCAAAGAAAAUAUUGCAUUAAAAAAAUGAAAAUAAAUCUUGUAUCUCCUUGUGAGCCAAUAUGAUUCACCAAAAGGCAGCCUAUAAUUCAGAAAACACUAAAAGCGAUUUUGGAAUCAUACAAAUAAUUUUUUAGAUUUUUAAAAAUGUUUUCUAAAUUUCAUCAAACACCUAAUUUUUAUUUGAAAAAAAAUAUUUUUUAAACAAAACGCUUCUUAGAAUAUCUGUGAAACUGUAAAUAGAAAGGGUGAGAACUACCUGAAGAUCGAGGGCCCCCAGAAAGGGCACAUAAUCUGCUAUAUUGAAAGCUCCUACCAAGAUCAAUGUUUCUUGCACAAGCGCCUUCAAGUCAGCCCUCUGAUAAUCCUUACAGCGCCCAAAUAGCAUUCUAUGCGUCAUGUCUUCAAUUAGUUCACCUACCUUUUUACUAAUAUUCACCACUUCCCGAGCCGCUGCCAUUUGUUUCAGUGACUGCACCAACACCCCCAGCUCCUCCUUCCUCAUUGCCGCAAAAGAAUCAAUUUUCACCUUGGUAAGAAGCUCCAACGUACAGAGUUUCCGGGCAUUGCGCCAAUAUGGACCAUACUCAGCAAAAGCCAUGCCCUUCCCCCCAUAGGACAAGUACUCUGAGGCUUGGAUUUUGGGCCUGCUAGCAAACACUGCAUCGUGGGUCUUGAGGAAUAGCUCGGCAGCCUCCGGCGAUGAGACUACGAUAGUUGGGACAUACCCAAGGCGCAUAGACAUGAUGGGACCAUACUUUCUGGCUAGGCGACUGAGGUUGCGGUGGGGAAGGUUGCCCAACAUGUGGAGGUUACCAAUAAUUGGUAAUGCCCAAGGACCCGGUGGGAGUUUCGGGCCAUUAACUGAGGCGGUACGGCGGCGAUGGAUGAAGGAGUACAAGGCUCCAAGGAGGACUAAGAGAGCUGCAGUUGCGAAAGCAGACAUGCUUGGUUGUGGGACGAUGUGGGCUUGGAGAUGAGAAAGUUCGUCAAGUGAAUUUGCAAUCUAUGUAGGCUGUUGUCAAUGAGCGAUGGUCUUCGCCUUCUAGGUAAAAAGAAUGAAUCCAAAUCAACCAUCAAAACUAGGAUUUUUUUUUUAUAAUUGUAUGGUGAAUUUAAAAUUAAUUUUAAAAAAUACAGUACAUUGAAAAAUAUUUUUAAAUUUAAGACUUUUUUUGUCACUUUGAAAGAUGUCUCUUAAAAAAACACCUUCCAUCAUUUUUAUAUCAAUAAUACAUGUUCAAAAAAAUUGAAUUUACAUUCAAGGUAUUUUUUGAAGAGACAUCUUUCACAAUUUUUAUAUCAAUCACACACUUAAAAAAAUUUUGAAUUUACAUUAAAAAUGUCUCUUCAAUAGACUUUUUACAAUUUUAUAAAAUCUAAUUUAUAUUAAAAAUGUUUUUUAAAUAAACACUUUUCAUAAUUUUCAUAUCAAUUGCAUAGUGAAAAAAUUAAAUUUAUACUAAAGAUGUCUUCUUAAAAGACACUUUUUAUAAUUUUACAAAAUUAAAUUUAUAUUAAAGAUGUCUUUGAAUAGAGAACUCCAACAAUUCUUGUAUCAAUUAUUCAUUGAAAUAAUUGAAUUUAUAUUAAAAGUGUCUUUCCAAAAGAUAUAUUCCAUAAUUUUAUAAAAUUAAAUUUAUAUUGAAAGAUUUUCCUUCAAAAGUCACUUUUAGUAUAAAUUUAAUUUGUUCGAUAGGUUACUAAUAUAAAAAUUAUGGAAUAUGUUUCUUUGAAAGACAUAUUUAGUAUAAAUUCAAUUUUGUGAAACUGUAGAGACAUCUUCAAUGUAAAUUCAAUUUCUUUUUUCAUUGUAUGACUGAUAUGAAAAUUAUGGAAUAUGUUUAUUCAAAAAACACCUUUAAUAUAAAUUUGAUUUUAUGGUAUUGUAAAAAUGAUAUAUGUUUAAUAUAAAUUCAAAUUUUUUUAAUGUUGAUGCUCUUAUUCUCUAAUAUCAUCUACCAUCAAAGAAGAUCGAAGUCUCACUUCUCAAACUCAAGUAUAAAUGAAAGAAUAAUCUUUGCAAAAUGCUUUCAACAGCAUCUGAGAAGUAAAUUACUACACGAGGUAUAAUAGCACAAUUUUAAAGCCCAUGUUUUGAAUUGCAUCUUGUGUGUGAAGAUGAUAAUUUUUAUACCAAUUUGUUGUGCUAAGGGCUUGAGGAAUUUCAGAAGUACUAAACAAAAUACAACUAAACUGGCUCAUAACAUAAAGAGAAAUAGCAAGAGAAAUAGACAAAAAAAAGAGGACAUACCAUGUAUGAGGUUCAAUGAGCAUGCCUUGGUUACGUCUUCAGCAAUGGUGAUCAAGCCUGACAUAUAUAGUAGUGCAUAGGGCUGAUAAAAGAUGGUGGCAUGAAUUUGGAAUUGUAGAAGGACCUAAUUAAGUUUAAUAACUCUGAUGGACCCAACUUUGAUA
rnacentral:lncRNA from 1 species